GACGAACGCUGGCGGCGUGCCUAAUACAUGCAAGUCGAACGCUUCUUUCCUCCCGAGUGCUUGCACUCAAUUGGAAAGAGGAGUGGCGGACGGGUGAGUAACCCGUGGGUAACCUACCCAUCAGAGGGGGAUAACACUUGGAAACAGGUGCUAAUACCGCAUAACAGUUUAUGCCGCAUGGCAUACGAGUGAAAGGCGCUUUCGGGUGUCGCUGAUGGAUGGACCCGCGGUGCAUUAGCUAGUUGGUGAGGUAACGGCUCACCAAGGCGACGAUGCGUAGCCGACCUGAGAGGGUGAUCGGCCACACUGGGACUGAGACACGGCCCAGACUCCUACGGGAGGCAGCAGUAGGGAAUCUUCGGCAAUGGACGAAAGUCUGAUCGAGCAACGCCGCGUGAGUGAAGAAGGUUUUCGGAUCGUAAAACUCUGUUGUUAGGGAAGAACAAGGACGUUAGUAACUGAACGUCCCCUGACGGUAUCUAACCAGAAAGCCACGGCUAACUACGUG
rnacentral:rRNA from 1 species